rnacentral:rRNA from 1 species
AUGACCAAAAUAUAUCCAGGUGAAAGCUUAAACAUAAGCUAUCUGAGCCCUUAUCUGAAGGCAUUGGGUUCUAAUUACAGUAACGGAGUGAAUUUUGCUAUUAGCGGUUCAACAACACUACCACGGGACGCCCUUUUUGUAUUGCAUGGACAGGUGCAGGAAUUCUUCUUCUUUAAAGCCAGAUCUUCCCUCUAUAAAAAAAAGAACGAAACGAAGGAAAACAUUUCCAAUUUGAAGAUUGACUCCGCGAUGAUGAUAGUGACCACCCUAAUGAGCGCCAAUGACGCCGCCAUCCACCCACAUUUCCAAUUUCAGUUUCUAUUCCAGUCGCCACAGCCGAGUGCCCGUCUAAUGGUUUAUCCUCCAGUUGACAGGGGUCUCUGCCUUCGCUUCCUCGCUAGCUUUUUUGGCUAUCAGUAG